GACGAACGCUGGCGGCGUGCUUAACACAUGCAAGUCGAACGGAAAGGCCCUGCUUUUGUGGGGGGCUCGAGUGGCGAACGGGUGAGUAACACGUGAGUAACCUGCCCUUGACUUUGGGAUAACUUCAGGAAACUGGGGCUAAUACCGGAUAGGAGCUCCUGCUGCAUGAUGGGGGUUGGAAAGUUUCGGCGGUUGGGGAUGGACUCGCGGCUUAUCAGCUUGUUGGUGGGGUAGUGGCUUACCAAGGCUUUGACGGGUAGCCGGCCUGAGAGGGUGACCGGCCACAUUGGGACUGAGAUACGGCCCAGACUCCUACGGGAGGCAGCAGUGGGGAAUAUUGCACAAUGGGCGGAAGCCUGAUGCAGCAACGCCGCGUGCGGGAUGACGGCCUUCGGGUUGUAAACCGCUUUCGCCUGUGACGAAGCGUGAGUGACGGUAAUGGGUAAAGAAGCACCGGCUAACUACGUG
rnacentral:rRNA from 1 species